rnacentral:rRNA from 1 species
AGAGUCUUGUAGAGGGGGGUAGAAUUCCAGGUGUAGCGGUGAAAUGCGUAGAGAUCUGGAGGAAUACCGGUGGCGAAGGCGGCCCCCUGGACAAAGACUGACGCUCAGGUGCGAAAGCGUGGGGAGCAAACAGGAUUAGAUACCCUGGUAGUCCACGCCGUAAACGAUGUCGACUUGGAGGUUGUGCCCUUGAGGCGUGGCUUCCGGAGCUAACGCGUUAAGUCGACCGCCUGGGGAGUACGGCCGCAAGGUUAAAACUCAAAUGAAUUGACGGGGGCCCGCACAAGCGGUGGAGCAUGUGGUUUAAUUCGAUGCAACGCGAAGAACCUUACCUACUCUUGACAUCCAGAGAACUUAGCAGAGAUGCUUUGGUGCCUUCGGGAACUCUGAGACAGGUGCUGCAUGGCUGUCGUCAGCUCGUGUUGUGAAAUGUUGGGUUAAGUCCCGCAACGAGCGCAAC